CUUUUUCAGUGUAGCGGCACCUCCGACCUCGGGAGAACCGCCUGCUUCCGUCAUCGAAGCUUUGGCCGACGAUUUGAAUACACCCAGGGUGGUCGCGGAACUGCACGCCCGCCUUGCGCAAACAGGUUCGUGAUCCGGGGGAUGAAGCUUCGACAGCACUCGGUAAUGCGCUUGCGUUCCUUGGUCUCGAUGCCGCGCGGUUUUCAGCGUGGGUUG
rnacentral:misc_RNA from 1 species